CACGUAGUUAGCCGGUGCUUUUUCUGCAGGUACCGUCACUUUCGCUUCUUCCCUACUAAAAAGAGGUUUACAACCCGAAGGCCGUCGUCCCUCACGCGGCGUUGCUGCAUCAGGCUUUCGCCCAUUGUGCAAUAUUCCCCCACUGCUGCCUCCCGUAGGAGUCUGGGCCCGUGUCUCAGUCCCAGUGUGGCCGGUCACCCGUCUCAGGCCGGCUACCCGUCGUCGCCUUGGUGAGCCAUUACCUCACCAACUAGCUGAUAGGCCGCGAGUCCAUCCUUGACCAAAAUUCUUUCCACCCCCGAGCCAUGCGGCUGAAGGUCGUAUCCGGUAUUAGACACCGUUUCCAGUGCUUAUCCCAGAGCCAAGGGCCAGGUUACUCACGUGUUACUCACCCGUUCGCCACUAAUCAGGUAGCAAGCUACCGUCAUCGUUCGACUUGCAUGUGUUAAGCACGCCGCCAGCGUUCAUCCUGAGUCCAGGAUCAAACUC
rnacentral:rRNA from 1 species